GCGCUAUGUUGAAGUUAAUCUUGGAUAUUUUCCAAAUGAACAGUGAAUAUUUUCCAACAUAACAGCAGGCAAAAGAAAGAUGUUUAUGGAUAUGUUUAACAUCGGAUAUACGAAGAAAUAAAAAGAAAAGCGCUUUAAAGAUAUCAGUGGAGGAACUGAAUCUCACAUACACGAACGUGCACACUAAUGAAUGAAUGAAUUUUUCAACUACUGUGUUUUGUUUGAUUUGCAUCGCUGGUCACACAUAGUUUUUACCACGUGAAUUUACCAGCACGAACUGGUUGUAUCUAGCGGAAAGUACUCAGCUUGUACAUAUUAUUUUACACCAUUAUUACAGAAUAGGUUGUUUUUAAGAUAAGUCUAUUACACCCAUCACUUUUUGAAAACAAAUAUGCCUGGAAAUAUUAAAGGACUGAAGGAACGUUUGAAAAAUGGUGAGACAAUACUUAUUGCUGAGGGUUACUUGUUCGUGUUUGAACGACGUGGUUACCUCCAAGCGGGCGCUUUCGUUCCAGAAGUGAUCAUUGAACAUCCCGAGCUAGUGAAGGAGCAGCACAGAGAGUUUGUACAUGCUGGUAGUGACGUCGUGUUGGCCUUUACGUACUAUGCUCACCGAAAAAAAAUGCAAGUGAUUGAAAAAGAGGCGGAGUUAGAAAGAAUAAACCGAGAAGCAUUGCGAAUUGCAAAAGAAGUUGCGGAUGAAUCGGGGAAACUUCUGGCAGGAAAUAUCUGCAACACUGGAGUUUAUGAGCCUGAGAAUCAAGAGUCGUAUGCAAAAACAAAAGCGAUUUUUAAGGAGCAGAUUGAGUGGGCUCUUGAUUAUGAUGUGGAUUUCAUUCUUGCCGAGACAUUCCCAACACUUGGAGAAGCUAAACUGGCACUGGAAGCAAUUCAGGAAUAUGGGAAAGGCGUUCCAUCUGUUGUUACAUUCAUCACUGCUGGAAAGAAUACUAUCGAUGGAGAAGUUGCCACUCUCGAUGGCUUCACGCUGCCGGAUGCUUGUAAACAAUUGGAAGAUGCUGGAGCUGAUGUCGUUGGCAUGAACUGCUGCAGAGGACCUAACACAAUGCUACCCAUCAUGGAGAAAGUGCGAGCCGUCUGUAAGGGGCACCUGGCUGCCGUACCUGUUCCAUAUAGAACGACACCAAGUGAGCCAACAUUUUUUAACUUUGUUGAUCCAAAAGAUGGCAAGAUGUGUUUCCCAACCAACAUGGAUAUUAAAUUCUGCAAUCGAAGCGAUAUGGUUGAUUUUGGAAAGCGGUGUCAGGAAAUUGGAAUCAACUUUGUUGGAAUUUGUUGUGGAAAUUCAGCUCACCUGACGCGUGCUCUGGCCGAGUCGUAUGGACGCACGCCCCCAGCAUCACGAUACUCAGCCAAGAUGGAGAACCAUUUCAUUUAUGGAACCAAUCCUUGCUUAGUUAAAUAUUAUAAUGAGCAGACACAGAAGCUGUUUUAGGGUUAAUUUGGUAUCAUUCAAUUAAUGCAUGGUUAAAAAAGUUGGGAACUAUAUAUAUAUAUAUAUAUAUAUAUAUAUAUAUAUAUAUAUAUAUAGAUAUAUAUAUAUAUAUUAGUGGUUAUAGGAAUUUUAUAUUUGGACCUGUCGAUUUAAUAGUGAUGCUAGUACAGUAUUGACAUUUAACUAUACAAUGACAAACAAGCCUAUUCAGUGCCGAUCACUUGAGCGUUGUAAGAGAAUUGGCAAUAAAUUCAAAAUCAUUGCACCACUCAA
rnacentral:misc_RNA from 1 species